rfam:Xenorhabdus beddingii strain DSM 4764 Xbed_7, whole genome shotgun sequence.
UGCAAUUGAAUUUUUAGUGGCUAUGACAGAUUGGAGAACAAUUGGACCACUGAGAUGGCGCUUACAGGGAGAUCCAGCGGGAAAAGCCAAUAAAAAAACAGGGGGUAAAAGAAAUGACUUUAACGAAAGAUUGAAUGCUAUAUGGUGCGUCCGAGUGGACUCGAACCACCGACCCCCACCA